rnacentral:rRNA from 1 species
AUUGAACGCUGGCGGCAGGCUUAACACAUGCAAGUCGAGCGGGGAAGGGUAGCUUGCUACCUAACCUAGCGGCGGACGGGUGAGUAAUGCUUAGGAAUCUGCCAUUUAGUGGGGGACAACAUUCCGGAAAGGAAUGCUAAUACCGCAUACGUCCUACGGGAGAAAGCAGGGGAUCUUCGGACCUUGCGCUAAAUGAUGAGCCUAAGUCGGAUUAGCUAGUUGGUGGGGUAAAGGCCUACCAAGGCGACGAUCUGUAGCGGGUCUGAGAGGAUGAUCCGCCACACUGGGACUGAGACACGGCCCAGACUCCUACGGGAGGCAGCAGUGGGGAAUAUUGGACAAUGGGCGGAAGCCUGAUCCAGCCAUGCCGCGUGUGUGAAGAAGGCCUUAUGGUUGUAAAGCACUUUAAGCGAGGAGGAGGCUACCAGUAUUAAUACUACUGGAUAGUGGACGUUACUCGCAGAAUAAGCACCGGCUAACUCUGUGCCAGCCGCCGCAGUAAAAC